CAGCACCUCAAGUGGUCAGAAUGAUUAUUGGGCCUAAAGCAUCCGUAGCCGGCUCUGUAAGUUUUCGGUUAAAUCUGUACGCUUAACGUACAGGCUGCCGGGAAUACUGCAGAGCUAGGGAGUGGGAGAGGUAGACGGUACUCGGUAGGAAGGGGUAAAAUCCUUUGAUCUAUUGAUGACCACCUGUGGCGAAGGCGGUCUACCAGAACACGUCCGACGGUGAGGGAUGAAAGCUGGGGGAGCAAACCGGAUUAGAGACCCGAGUAGUCC
rnacentral:rRNA from 1 species